rnacentral:lncRNA from 1 species
AUGGCUCUGCCGAGGGGAGCAGCCAGGGAGCUGUGCUGGUGUGGGUGCUGCUGGCAUCCCUGCUCCUGCCAGAGCCCAGCUGCACCCCAGGGGCCGCCCUGGCAGGGCUCUGGCUCCUGGCAUCACAUCUGGUGCCAUUUCCCAGCCUCUGGUCACUCUCCCUGCAGGACGGAAUGUGCCCGGGGAGCCGGGGAUAAAACCCCCAGGUCACGGGGAGGGGAGACCCCAGGAGACUCUAAUCUAUCUAUUGGCAUAAUUAAGGCUAUAAUAUUCUAUCUACAGAGGAUGGCUGAAUCCCUAGUGGUCUCUGGGGCUCAAAAACAAAAGGAGAAGGUGGCAAUGGCUCGAGGAGCAGCAAGGUUCCCGCUCCCUUGGGAAAACAGAGCCUCUGGCUGGCUGCUGGUGGGCUUUGCUCCGGCUGGUGGGGGGCUGUGUGCCCUUCCCACCACACCCACACACGGAGGGCAAGUCCACAGGUACAUUUUACACUUAAAUCCAGAGGCAGAGCUGUGCCCCGGGGCGCUGGCGGGUGCAGGACGGAUCCGGGGUGCGGGUGGGUGCUGGGACGUGUAUGGCUUAUCAGCUACAGGGCAGGGUGCUGGGUGGGUGCUCAGGGUGGGUGCUGUGCCCUGCUCCUCUGGGUUUGGGGCUUUGGGCUGGAUUUGGGGCCGGCUGCCCAGUGGGAACACGGACAGGUCUUCUCGCCCCGCUUGCUUUGCAGGGUGUGGGAGCCAGUGUGGAUCAAGCCACAGGGCCUGGCCAGUCUCCCAACCAUCCAAGGAGCUGGAGAGGAGCCAGCUCCUCUGCACGGACCAGAGACAUCCAUCCCCAGGCUGUGCCAGCAGGAGCCCUGUGCCCAGCUGGCUGCAGCCCCCCAGCCCCUCUCUCCUGGCUCAAAGGCAGCAGAGGCCAGAGCAGCACUGGCUGCAGGCAGGGCAUCCCUCUCCCACCCUCUGCAGCCUCCACAGCUGCACCCAUCACCCACCAGGACCCAGCUCAGCACGGGGGUGA